rnacentral:lncRNA from 1 species
CUUCCCCUAUGGCAUACUGCUGCUCUUCAACUCUGGACACCUUGUUCUCCUUCGCUGAAUCCCUUUACAAUGCCCACACCUUUCAGUCCCUUCAUUAACAUGCCUUCAUUUGCCCUUUUAGAGUAGAAUCCCGUUUCCUCCUGGAGCCUUUCCUGAUUGAUAUGCUUCGAGCCAUCUUAACGCCCCAGGCCUGCUGGUAUCAGAGUCAUCCACCACCUCACUUCCACUGCAGAGGGCUGGAGGGAGAUUCGGCAAAUCAGGGCAGGGUCCAGGAGAAGCCCCAGUGAGCUCUUUCCGGGAAGCCCAUUCUCCCUCUGGACCUUCAAGGAGCCACGCUUACCUGCUCUUUCCCCUGGGAGAGCUUUCAGGCAAUGUUUGGAUGAUUUGGGGUCAAACUGAAGAUGAUUCAGGUGCUCGCUGUGUUCUCCCUUUCUGAAGUCUGGGACUGCCGUGGAAGUUGUGUGAUUUCUUUGGGCAGGAUGGCAGGUAAGGCAGGCAUUCUUUUAUCUACGCCCUGUUCC